GACGAACGCUGGUGGCGUGCUUAACACAUGCAAGUCGAGCGGAAAGGCUCCUUCGGGGGUACUCGAGCGGCGAACGGGUGAGUAACACGUGAGUAAUCUGCCCUGCGCUCUGGGAUAGCCACCGGAAACGGGGAUUAAUACCGGAUAUGACCGCUACACGCAUGUGUUGGGGGUGGAAAGUUUUUCGGCGCAGGAUGUGCUCGCGGCCUAUCAGCUUGUUGGUGAGGUAAUGGCCCACCAAGGCUUUGACGGGUAGCCGGGCUGGGGGGGUGACCGGUCACACUGGAACUGAGAAACGGCCCAGACGCAUACGGGAGGCAGCAGUGGGGAAUAUUGGACAAUGGGCGGAAGCCUGAUCCAGCGACGCCGCGUGAGGGAUGACGGCCUUCGGGUUGUAAACCUCUUUCAGUACCGACGAUGCGAAAGUGACGGUAGGUACAGAAGAAGGACCGGCCAACUACGUGCCAGCCGCCGCUGUAAUAC
rnacentral:rRNA from 1 species